rnacentral:lncRNA from 1 species
GGGUAUACAUCAUUCAGUUAUUCAGUUAAAGAAAUGAUGAGAUAAAUGAUCUUGCAGACUAAGCAUUGAAUAAGUCAAAAACCAUGAAGAUUACACAUUUUUAUUUUUGUCGACUAAUGCUACUUUUUCCCAACUUAUGACGUGCAGCAUUCUAUCUUCUUCCUACUGCAACAAAAUGUUUCUAAUUAUAUUAAUUUAUAAAACUAAGACAGUGAAAUUUCUCCUUAAAUCUCAUUAUUGUGGGGUGUGCAUGCCAUUCCUUUAGCUGACCCAUUUUUCACGUUCUAAAUAAGAAGCUAAUUAUCAUCUAAGCCAUCAACCAUCAAAGCAUCACGGGAAGCCACGAAGCAUGUUGCAAGUUCUUGUGAUUGAUACAGCAAUGCUUAAUAAUGAUAAAUUUUAAUAAGUAAUCCCCUUGAACAGAUAUAUCACUCUCAAAAAAAGGAAUAUGUUCAACCGAUAUAAACUGGUAAGACUAUCUUUAUUUAUCUAGCUGAAAUUCUUAGG